UAAGACGGAGGGUGCGAACGUUGCUCGGAAUUACUGGGCGUAAAGCGCGUGUAGGCGGGCCUGCAAGCGGGGUGUGAAAGCCCUGGGCUCAACCCAGGAAGUGCAUUCCGAACUGCCGGCCUUGAGUGCGGGAGAGGGAGGUAGAAUUCCCGGUGUAGAGGUGAAAUUCGUAGAUAUCGGGAGGAAUACCAGUGGCGAAGGCGGCCUCCUGGACCGACACUGACGCUGAGACGCGAAAGCGUGGGGAGCAAACAGGAUUAGAUACCCUGGUAGUCCACGCCGUAAACGAUGGGUACUAGGUGUCGCGGGUAUUGACCCCUGCGGUGCCAAAGCCAACGCGUUAAGUACCCCGCCUGGGGAGUACGGCCGCAAGGCUA
rnacentral:rRNA from 1 species